CCGCCUGAAGGUAUUUGCCUCUUCUGGCACUUGGCCCUCCAGUGCAGGGAACAGGCCAUCUCCAAAACAGGCCAAGUGGCCCAACCUCUACCAGAAGAUUGAGAAAUGUCCCAUGAUGCUGCGUGGGCAGACCUUAAUCUUAGGGAUAGCCCAGACAUGUACCUGUGGCUUUCACUCCCAGCAGGUAAUAUUGAGAGCCUGGUGAAAUAAAUGCAUUUUGUAGGCUUACAAUUUGUGAUGUGGACAAAAUCCCAUAUUGAUUAGUAUUAAUGCUUGUUUAAUGGUUUUAUUGUUUCUGUCUGUCAGUCUGUGAGAAGCCCUGCAGCUACCUCUGCCUCCACCUCUGCUGCGCCUGCACGGAGCCCUGGGAGGCCUGCAUUGACGCUGGCGAUGUUUGAGAAAGCGCGGUUCGGUGGGACUUUGUCUGCUGCAGCCAAGCCGAAUGUCAAUCUGACCAGGAGGCCUGUUGAGGUAAUUGAUGUACCUAUAGCUGUGCCUGAUGCCUAAGAACACAGCCAUACAGCCAACACUAUCCUUGUUUUGUAAUUGUACUUCAUCGGCUCAGUUUCCCCGAAACUAAAAUAUAAUUUAGUUUUUAGUGUGGUUAAUCUUAAAUACGGAUUGAAAAUGUUGACAAUAAUUAAUA